rnacentral:rRNA from 1 species
UGGGGGAUUUUGCACAAUGGGCGAAAGCCUGAUGCAGCGACGCCGCGUGGGGGAUGAAGGCCUUCGGGUUGUAAACUUCUUUUGCUCUGAACAAGGCAUGCUAAUGGGUGUGUUGAGUGUAGGGGUUGAUUAGCGCCGGCUAACUACGUGCCAGCAGCCGCGGUAAUACGUAGGGCGCGAGCGUUGUCCGGAAUUAUUGGGCGUAAAGGGCUUGUAGGUGGCUGGUUGCGUCUGUCGUGAAAGCUCAUGGCUUAACUGUGGGUUUGCGGUGGGUACGGGCUGGCUUGAGUGCAGUAGGGGAGGCUGGAAUUCCUGGUGUAGCGGUGGAAUGCGCAGAUAUCAGGAGGAAUACCGGUGGCGAAGGCGGGUCUCUGGGCUGUUACUGACACUGAGGAGCGAAAGCAUGGGGAGCGAACAGG